AUUGAACGCUGGCGGCAGGCCUAACACAUGCAAGUCGAGCGGAUGAAGGGAGCUUGCUCCUGGAUUCAGCGGCGGACGGGUGAGUAAUGCCUAGGAAUCUGCCUGGUAGUGGGGGAUAACGUCCGGAAACGGGCGCUAAUACCGCAUACGUCCUGAGGGAGAAAGUGGGGGAUCUUCGGACCUCACGCUAUCAGAUGAGCCUAGGUCGGAUUAGCUAGUUGGUGGGGUAAAGGCCUACCAAGGCGACGAUCCGUAACUGGUCUGAGAGGAUGAUCAGUCACACUGGAACUGAGACACGGUCCAGACUCCUACGGGAGGCAGCAGUGGGGAAUAUUGGACGAUGGGCGAAAGCCUGAUCCAGCCAUGCCGCGUGUGUGAAGAAGGUCUUCGGAUUGUAAAGCACUUUAAGUUGGGAGAAAGGGCAGUAAGUUAAUACCUUGCUGUUUUGACGUUACCAACAGAAUAAGCACCGGCUAACUUCGUG
rnacentral:rRNA from 1 species